rnacentral:rRNA from 1 species
AUUGAACGCUGGCGGCAGGCCUAACACAUGCAAGUCGAGCGGAUGAAGGGAGCUUGCUCCUGGAUUCAGCGGCGGACGGGUGAGUAAUGCCUAGGAAUCUGCCUGGUAGUGGGGGAUAACGUCCGGAAACGGGCGCUAAUACCGCAUACGUCCUGAGGGAGAAAGUGGGGGAUCUUCGGACCUCACGCUAUCAGAUGAGCCUAGGUCGGAUUAGCUAGUUGGUGGGGUAAAGGCCUACCAAGGCGACGAUCCGUAACUGGUCUGAGAGGAUGAUCAGUCACACUGGAACUGAGACACGGUCCAGACUCCUACGGGAGGCAGCAGUGGGGAAUAUUGGACAGUGGGCGAAAGCCUGAUCCAGACAUGCCGCGUGUGUGAAGAAGGUCUUCGGAUUGUAAAGCACUUUAAGUUGGGAGGAAGGGCAGUAAGUUAAUACCUUGCUGUUUUGACGUUACCAACAGAAUAAGCACCGGCUAACUUCGUG